rnacentral:misc_RNA from 1 species
GGAAAUUACACGAGAAAUUGAAAAAUCAUUCAAGUGUGGGGAAGGAUGAAUUUCGGCCAGCCAUUGAAGAAUGGGGUUUUGAUAUGUUUUAAAUGAAUUAAGCAUGAAAUUGAGCUUGUGUGAAAUGGUAUUCAUGAUUUGGGUAUUAAGCUUACACGACUUUACAUGAAUUAGUAAGAUGAAAAAAUUAGGGUUUAUGGAAAUUAG